GAUGAACGCUGGCGGCGUGCCUAAUACAUGCAAGUCGAGCGAACGGACGAGAAGCUUGCUUCUCUGAUGUUAGCGGCGGACGGGUGAGUAACACGUGGAUAACCUACCUAUAAGACUGGGAUAACUUCGGGAAACCGGAGCUAAUACCGGAUAAUAUUUUGAACCGCAUGGUUCAAAAGUGAAAGACGGUCUUGCUGUCACUUAUAGAUGGAUCCGCGCUGCAUUAGCUAGUUGGUAAGUUAACGGCUUACCAAGGCAACGAUGCAUAGCCGACCGGAGAGGGUGAUAGGACACACGGGAACUGAGCCACGCUCCAGACUCCUACGGGAGGCAGCGGUAGGGAAUCUUCCGCAAUGGGCGAAGGCCUGCCGGAGCAACGCGGCGUGAGUGAUGAAGGUCUUCGGAUCGUAAAACUCUGUUAUUAGGGAAGAACAUAUGUGUAAGUAACUGUGCACAUCUUGACGGUACCUAAUCAGAAAGCCACGGCUAACUACGUG
rnacentral:rRNA from 1 species